rnacentral:rRNA from 1 species
ACUCAAAUGAAUAGACGGGGGCCCGCACAAGCGGCGGAGCGUGCGGUUUAAUUCGACGCAACGCGCAGAACCUUACCAGGGCUUGACAUGGCGCUGCAGGCUGAUGAAAGUCAGCGUCCUUCGAGGGUGCGUCACAGGUGCUGCAUGGCUGUCGUCAGCUCGUGUCGUGAGAUGUUGGGUUAAGUCCCGCAACGAGCGCAACCCCCGUGGCCAGUUACGUGGGUGUCUGGCCAGACUGCCGGUAGCAAGCCGGAGGAAGGCGGGGAUGAUGUCAAGUCAGCAUGGCCCUUACGUCCUGGGCUACACGCACGCUACAAUGGGGCGGACAGAGGGUAGCCAAGCCGCGAGGUGGAGCGAAUCCCAAAAACCGCUUCUCAGUUCAGAUUGUGGGCUGCAACUCGCCCGCAUGAAGGCGGAGUCGCUAGUAACCGCAGGUCAGCAGUACUGCGGUGAAUACGUUCCCGGGCCUUGUACACACCGCCCGU